rnacentral:rRNA from 1 species
UACGUAGGUGGCGAGCGUUGUCCGGAUUUACUGGGCGUAAAGAGCGCGCAGGCGGCUGGUCAAGUCCGAUGUGAAAGCUCCCGGCUUAACUGGGAAAUUGCAUCGGAAACUGAUCGGCUGGAAGGUGGGAGAGGGUAGCGGAAUUCCCGGUGUAGUGGUGAAAUGCGUAGAUAUCGGGAGGAACACCAGUGGCGAAGGCGACUACCUGGCCCAUUCUUGACGCUGAGGCGCGAAAGCUAGGGGAGCGAACGGG